UGCCACCCCAGAUAGCAAGCAGACGUUGAUUCAACGUUGAUUUUUGGUUGUAAAGCCUAUGUAAAUUCCGCGUGCUUUAAUGAGCGCGCGCUGAACAUUGGAGUAGCGUUCAUUCAGAUUCAAACACUGGAGCGGAGGGAGUUGCCAUGGAAACGGGGCGACCGACAACACUGGCAAGCUGCAAGCUCCGUUUCUUGCUGCUGUUUUCACUGCUUUCGAUUCUUUCGUGCUUGAUGUUCUUCUGCAUCCCAGAGUCUGAGCAAACCUCCUGUCCAACAACAUCUCCAAGACACACUGAACCAUACGGCUAGCAGCCUCGCGUGUGAAGACUUCAGAAGAUGCCAGACCUCACAAAGAUUUCAGAUGAUGGCAACUAUAGAUGAACUUGCAAAGCUGCUUAAUAAUCCUUAUAUUGUAAUCAUUGCCCUAAAAGGACGGAUCUUAUCAGCAAAUCUACUUCACAGCACAUCAGUGAAAACAGUUGACAGUUACAGACGGGUGUGUUGGAUCAGGUUCAGAUCUGAAUUCUGAUGGUUUUCUGGGAUGACAGUUGAAGAGAUCAGCACAUCAGAUGUUGGUCUGGACAGCUGUACCUACAGUACACCACAGUGACCUCUCUGCUUUUGCAUGGAUGGCUGACUACUACCAUGUUCUGUGAAGGUAUUAUUAUAGCAAACCUGAGCACCUGUGACAGUGGAAUAGUUGUAAUGAAUAGUCACACAUGCAUAUUGGUAAAUUUAAAGUCACAGAUAAUUUUUUUUAGUACUAGCAAUAUUUUUAUUUUAAAUUUUUUACUAAUUCUCUCCAGCAAACACAACACAACAGUUACACCAUUUCAAAUUCUGAGGUGCACAAAUCCUAUUCUACAAAUAAGAGAACAACAGUAUAAAAGUGCUCAGUUUAGCCCCUUUCACACUGAGAUUCCAGAUGAUACACGGGUAAUUGUUCCCGGAUCGUUAGAUUUUGGUUCAUUCACACUGCCAGUGAGUGCGUUCACACACAACCGGUAAAGGUCCCAUAAUGAUACGAGACAUCAGGAUGUGAUGUGUAAUGUACGAGUUGAAAACGCUAGGCCGCCAAAAAACGGAAGAAGGAGAAGAAGCAAACCAGAAGUGUUUUCAAUACUUUAUAAACAUGGCAGCUGAUCAGCUACUGGGGCCAUUGUUGUUUAUGUAUAAAGCAUCUUCCACACAGAAAUUCCGGAAAAUACACCAAUAAUGUGUUCCAGGAUCCUCUAAUUGUGGUUCAUUCACACUGCCAGUAAUUUUCUGGAAUCUGUGUGUGCGUUCACACACAACCCAUAAAGAUCCCGUAAAGACACGUGACAUUACGAUGUGACGUGUUUUGUUUCACUUAAACUGGUGAACGAUCUCAGCUUCAGCACGGAUAGUGAGGAACUAACUGAUCUCUGCUUCAUUACAAUUUGCACAUUUUUUUCGUCACGAAUGUUGAUCUGCCUUCAAAACACCUGCUAAAAGAGUCGCAUGAUAACGUGCGUCAUCACUACGACACAUCCUUUACGCCAUUGGUUCUGGCUUUUGUUCACACAGAGCUCGUUCUAGGUAAGGUAAGUGCUAGUAUCAGUGGUGGAGGUGCUGAGGAAAAAAAAAAAAAGAGGUGUCUUUAAGAGGUGUUUUUGGAAAAUGGCUGAAGACUCAGAUGCUCGAAUUGAGAAAGGCAGGUCAUUCUACCAUGAUCUUAUCUACAAAUACUACUGUUCUCAUAAAGUCUGUAAAUAUGUCCAGUUCUAAUAAACACACAUUUCAGGAAAAAAUAAUUCAAUAAUAUGACCAAAAUGAAAUACAGCCCUGCAUAAAUCUGGUAUAACUGAGUCUGUGAAUUUCUUAAUUUGUGAUUUGUAGAAUAGGAUUUAUGCACCUGCAAUGAAGAUUUUGAGAAGGUUUUGUUGUGUUUGUGAGAGAGAAAGAAACAAAAUACAAGCUUGUAACUCCAAAAACAUUUUCUUGAUAACUUUACUGAAAUAUUCUCUACAAAUACAAAUUCCACUGUCACAGGUGCUCAAUUUUGUUACAAUAAUGUACAAAGUGUCUCAAAUGUACUAUAGAUGUACUGUAUGCAAAUAAAACAAAGGGACAUUAACAACUGAAUAUUCAGGGGAUGGAAACUUAUCACCUUUAAGUAAAAUUGAAUUUUGAAUCUAAAUAUCAUUUGCAUGAUUUGUGUAGAUCCAAAAGAGUUUUUAAAAGUGCAUUAGUUAAAUAGCACAUGCUAAAUAGCACAAGGCAUAUUUUACAUGUUAUUUACAUAAUAAAAAGAUAAGGGAAACAUGUUUUACAUCAAGUGUUGCCAUUUUAUAUGAAAAUAUACAAAAGAUAAUAUUUUUGAGGCACAUGAUAAAAAAAUUACCCCCAAACUUGAGGGAAAUGUAAUAAUGGAGUGAUGGUUAAUGUAUAAAAAAAGCAACUAAAAACUAACUUUAUUGUCUUAUUUGUCUGUCUGCUGAUAUUUAAUUGUGGGUUACAUCGUCACCUUUUUCAAACCUGACCUGAAUAGUUCACAUCCCUGAUAUUACAAAGAACUUAAGUUUUAAUUGGUAAUAACAUUUUUAUUCAGUGAAUAUGGUUUUUAAUUUGUUACUUGACACUAUUUAUAUUAGCCUAUAAUAUACUUUAUACCUUUAUACCUCUUUGUGUGUGUAUUUGUGUGUAAAUGCAUUUUCUUUGCUAGACAUAGAAGGUUUGUGCUCUAAACAUGUAUUUGUAACAGUGUUUAAACUGUAUUCGUAUUGUAUAAAUAAUAAAGAAAUUAUGACUGAAUGUGAUGUGUGUUUAAUAAAUUAUUACAUAUACAGGCUAAUUUAUUUAGUACUAAGUAUGUGAGAUUUUUAAAACAAGCAGAAAAUGUUAAUAGUAACGUCAUUUUACCCAUAUGAAAUCAACAUCGUUUCAACGUUAAGUAAGCAAACCAAUUAGAUCGAUUUUAUGUUGAAAACGUGUUGAUUCUCUGACGUCGUUUCAACCAACUGAAAUUCUACGUCGAUUCAACGUUAGGUAAGUGAACCAAUUGCGUCGAUUUUCCGUUAGUUUUGAAUGGCGUGCCUGACGUUGGAUCAACGUUAACCCGAUGAGCAAAACGAUGUUGGAUCGACGUCGGAGAUCAACGUCGUUUCGACGCCACGCGAAACGUCGAUUCUACGUUGAUUCUAUGUUAGUUUGCUAUCUG
ensembl:lncRNA